GUGAAAGAGCUAAUAGUCAAAUCUAAGAUGGAGUCGUUCUUCUAUAAAAGCAUGAUCUAGUAGACAAAAGAAUGGCUUGAAGUUAGUUAUUCAAUUG